UCAUUUUCCAACAACCAGAUAAGUGUUCUCUGUCAAGUAAUAGAAAACAGACAGCAAAUGCAAAUUACCUUCAUACAUGCUCCUAAUGCAUUCCGAGAAAGAAUACUACUAUGGGAGGAACUUUAUAUAGCAAGUACCCACCACCACUUACCAUGGCUAUGCUUGGGAGACUUCAAUGAAGUCUUGUAUCAUUGGGAAAAAGUGGGCGGCAAACGAGCGGAAAACUAUCGGUUGACAGCCUUUAGGGAUUUUCUUGAGAAAUGCUCAUUAAUGGAUUUGGAAUCCAAAGGCUGCGCUUUCACCUGGACCAACAACCGAACAGGAGAUCAAUUUGUUAAGGAGAGACUAGACAGGGGAUUAUGCAAUCUCGAGUGGAGAUUAUCCUAUCCUAAUGCAGAAAGCUUUGCACUACCAGCUGUAGGGUCUGAUCACAGCCUUAUUCUAAUUCGUUUACAGACGAGGAGAACAAAGAAGAGGAGGAUUUUUCGCUAUGAAGCAUUCUGGGCUGAAGAUGAAGAAAGCGGACAGAUAGUUAGGAAGGGCUGGGCUGAAGGGGAAUCUCAAGGGCUGAACUUGGCUCAAAAACUGCAGAAGGUGGCAAAACAAUUGGCACAGUGGAGUAAAAAUAGAUUUCAGAAUGCCAAACGGAGAAUAGAUGAGCUGAAAAGUGAAUUACAAAGCCUUACAAAUGCAACUGAAGUUUAUAAAGAAUGUGAGGUAGCAAAGAAUAUAAAUCAGGAGAUUGAAAAGCUAUGGUGGCAAGAGGAGUUGUACUGGGGGAUGCGUUCAAGAAUAAGCUGGUUGAAAUGGGGAGACAGAAAUACAAAAUUUUUCCAUGCAACAACCAUUCAAAGAAGAAACAGAAACAGAAUUACCUUACUCAAGGAUGCCAACGGUGAGUGGGUGAAGGAGGAUCUACCUUUAAAAGAAAUGACAGAAACUUUCUUCAAGAACCUUUAUUUGUCAA
rnacentral:lncRNA from 1 species